UCCGUAGGUGAACCUGCGGAAGGAUCAUUACCGAGUUGAUUCGGGCUCCGGCCCGAUCCUCCCACCCUUUGUGUACCUACCUCUGUUGCUUUGGCGGGCCGCGGUCCUCCGCGGCCGCCCCCCUCCCCGGGGGGGUGGCCAGCGCCCGCCAGAGGACCAUCAAACUCCAGUCAGUAAACGAUGCAGUCUGAAAAACAUUUAAUAAACUAAAACUUUCAACAACGGAUCUCUUGGUUCUGGCAUCGAUGAAGAACGCAGCGAAAUGCGAUAAGUAAUGUGAAUUGCAGAAUUCAGUGAAUCAUCGAAUCUUUGAACGCACAUUGCGCCCUUUGGUAUUCCGAAGGGCAUGCCUGUUCGAGCGUCAUUACAACCCUCAAGCUCUGCUUGGUAUUGGGCACCGUCCUUUGCGGGCGCGCCCCAAAGACCUCGGCGGUGGCGUCUUGCCUCAAGCGUAGUAGAACAUACAUCUCGCUUCGGAGCGCAGGGCGUCGCCCGCCGGACGAACCUUCUGAACUUUUCUCAAGGUUGACCUCGGAUCAGGUAGGGAUACCCGCUGAACUUAAGCAUAUCAAUAAGCGGAGGA
rnacentral:rRNA from 1 species